CCCAAGAAUAGGGGUGGGAUUAAAGUUAAUCCCACCCCUAUUUAAUUUUUAAUAUAAUUUUAAAAUUUUAAUUUUAAAUUAUAAAUUUUUAAAAUUUAUAAUAUGUAAUCUUAAAAUUAAUAGUAUUUUUUUUAAAAUUUAAAUUUAAAUUAUUUAAAUUUUAAAUUUGACAUUAUAUAUUUAAAAAUUUUAAAGUAUUUAAUUUGUAAUCUUAAAAUUAAUAUUUAUAUUUUUAAAAUUUAAAUUUAAAUUAUUUAAAUUUUAAAUUUGACAUUAUAUAUUUAAAAAUUUUAAAGUAUUUAAUUUGUAAUCUUAAAAUUAAUAUUUAUAUUUUUAAAAUUUAAAUUUAAAUUUUAAAUUUUAAAUUUUAAUUUCAAAUUUUAAAAUUUAAAAACUAAAAUUUAAAUAUAAAAAUUAGGAUAAAAUUAUUAUUUUCUAUUUAUAACAACCCGCUAUCCUUCUUAUUCCACCUACUCCAACCAAACACUAUUUUACUUAUAUCUGGACUAAACCUAAUUCUUAACCAAACACAAAAUUACUCUAACUCGACCUUAACUCUGAACUUAACCCUAUUUCUGAAAUAACUAGUUUUUACUUAACCCCGAACCAAACGGAGCCUUGAGUAUCAUCAGCAAGUUCUC
rnacentral:lncRNA from 1 species